rnacentral:lncRNA from 1 species
UUAUCUGUUUCCCUAUCAAAGCACCUCUUGGCAGAACUUAUUCUCCAAAAUUCACUAAAAGUUUUUUCUAGAUCUCUUUAUGGUCUCAUCUCAUUUUCUUUGAAAGACCUCAUCUCUUACCCCAGCCUAAAUUCCAGGGGUCUCUGGGCUCACUCAUUGGGCUCCAUCUUUCUUUCAUCCAUACUCACUGCAUGGGGUCUCAACUGUGAGACUUAUGUCAUGAACAACUUUGACACCAAUAGCCCCUGAUGUCCAUCCAUACCCACACUCCAGGUACACAGGCAGCUGUCCUCUAACGAUCUUCUGUAUAUGUAUAAGCAUCUGCAACAGAAUUCUGAUUUAACCCAUGUGGCCCUUCCUGCAUUCUUUCCUAUAUCAAGAAAUAUCCAUUCUAUUCUAUGGCUUAGAUUAUUUUUGGCUCCUAUUUAUGUCCCACAUCCAGUCCCUCAGCAAAUACUAUUGGCUCUGCAUCCUAAAACAAAUCCAGAAUUUAGUCAAUUCUCUCUGCCCCAAAGCUUGAACCCUUAUCCAACCCACCAUCAUCUCAUACCUGAAUUGUUGCAGAAGCUACCUCCCUGGCCAGCCCCUGCCCUUUCCAUUUGUCAUCAGCACAAAAGCAAAAGGGUUCUUGAAGAAGUUUGGUUAGAUCAUGUAGGUUCUCUGCUCCAAACCCUCCAAUGCAUCCUUGUUUCACUCAGUAGAAACUGAAAGCUUUGCCCUGGAUCUUGGAGCUAACAUGUUCUGGGCACCCCCCUCACAUACCUGUCACACCUACUCCAUCCAUUUUCCUUGCCCAAUCUGUUGCAGCCACAUGAUGUGCUUAGCUAUGAACAUUUUGUGCUCAUGUUCAUAGCUAAGCACUCUUCCACCUAGGGAGAGUUCUUUCUUCUUAGAACAUUACAUGUUGGGGUAUUGCUGCUUUACUC